GUGCUCGAAGGCAUCCUCUGUUUUUCCCUCCACACAACGCACGCGAGGUCCAUCGCUCCUUCACUCCCUUACCGCGCACAUGGCGGUCUCCUCCCCGGCCAUGGCCUCGCCUCCUCUCACCGCGCCCGGUACCCACCGUGGCCCCGGCUUCUCGACCCUCUGCCUCUCACCGUCGCCUUCCUGGUACCCGCCUCUUUCGGCUUCCUCCUCACCGGCUAUCUCCACCGUCCUCAAACCCAAGCCCAGAGUUCGUAACUACGCUUCAGGUCUCGGAUUAAGGUGCCAGGCCGCGGAGGAGUCGUCACCGCCAGCGCGGGGUAAGCCUCCGCUCAAGGUGAUGAUGUCGGGAGCGCCCGCGUCGGGAAAAGGAACCCAAUGCCGCAUGAUUGUCGAGAAGUAUGGUUUAGUUCACGUAUCAACUGGUGAUCUUCUGCGAGCUGAAGUAUCUUCUGGCACAAAAAUUGGCAAGAAAGCAAAAGAAUACAUGGACAAUGGAAAGCUUGUUCCGGAUCAAGUUGUGACUGAUAUGGUGGUAUCACGACUGUCACAACCAGAUGUACAAGAAAGAGGGUGGCUUCUUGAUGGUUACCCAAGGAGCUUUGGUCAAGCACAAAGCCUUGAAAAUCUGAAAAUAAGACCUGAUAUUUUCAUUGUGCUAGAAGUUCCUGAUGACGUUCUAAUUGAUAGAUGUGUUGGAAGACGGCUGGAUCCUGUGACUGGCAAGAUUUACCAUUUAACAAACUUCCCCCCGGAGAAUGAGGAGAUUUCUGUCCGACUUAUUACACGUUCUGACGACACAUUUGAGAAGGUUAAAUCACGCCUUGAUACGUACAAGAGAAAUUCUGAAGCUAUUCUUCCUACGUACUCUGAUUUGCUUAAUCAGAUUGAUGGAAACUGCCUAGCCGAAGUUGUUUUUCAGGAGAUAGAUUCCCUAUUACAGAAGAUCUGUGUGAACACUUCAGCGAACAAGUUGACCAAAACAAAUGGAAAUGAUCAAACCUUUUCAUUUAUUAUAGGAAAACGACCAGAUUCUGUGGAUACAGUUUCAAAAAAUGAAUGGCGUGGAAUUCCAACAAGGUUGAAUAACAUUCCACAUUCUAGGGAAAUUAGGGAAUACUUCUACAACGAUGUGGUAAAAGCUACAAAACUUGCUAUUGAAGAUAAAAAGACUCGGUUGCAGAUAGAUAUCAAUAUUCCUGAGCUUAACCCUGAAGUGGAUGUUUAUCGCAUAGGAACCCUUAUGGAACUUGUAAGAGAACUUUCUCUAUCCUUUGCUGACGAUGGAAAACGUGUCAAGGUCUGUGUUCAAGGCUCCAUGGGGCAAGGUGCAUUUGCUGGCAUCCCACUCCAACUGGCAGGAAUCAGAAAAAUUUUGGAAUUCAUGGACUGGGGUGACUAUGGGGCAAAGGGCACCUUCAUUAAUAUUGGGGCACUAGGUGCUAGUGAGGUUGACAAAGAAGAUGAUAUGUUUGUCCUCAUUGCUCCGCAAAAUGCUGUUGGAAACUGCAUAAUUGAUGAUAUGAGAGCUAUGACUGAUGCUGCUGGUGACAGGCCUGUGAUUCUUAUAAAUCCUCGCCUAAAGGUUCCUUUUGAUAUUGCUGAGCAUUGUGCUAGCGAAGCGCGUCUACAAUGGCGGCUGUGCCUUCAUCUCCUUGUCACUUUGACUCCAUGUCAUGCGCUGGACGCGUUUCCUGAACUCCACGGCGGCCUCCUUGAGAUCCCCUGUGGAGGCUGGGCGUCGUGACGUGUUCAAAGUGGUGGCCUGGUUCUCGAACCUGGCCCUGAUUCCGUCGGAGCUGGAUCUUGUGAUUGUGGAGUCAUCAACGGAGGAAGAAGGCUCCAAUCCUAGGAUGCGUAGACUGGUCUACCCGAUCUCGAUUUCGGUCACCCCUGGUGGUCUGCAAUCGGAGGCAGCGGAACCCCCUGUGGCUACUACAGCCAACUACUACAACAUGUGGACUGGGUCCAUCUAUAUGUGGCCUGGUCCCCGGGCUCCUACUCCUCAUGCACCGGCGCCACCUAUGCAUCACGCCUAUGUUGCUGGUCCACCCGCCCAAUGGGCUGGCCACUAGGGCGUCCCUCCUCUCGCCCCUGUCCCAGCUCCACAAUCUCCUCCACCUCUUGGUUGGGAUCAGCAGGCCCUUGCAGCAAGCUUUGAGACUAUGUCUCUUACUCAACCGCCACAGCGGGACUGGUACUUCGACAACGGUGCUACCAGCCACAUGGCGUCCGACACUGGAUAUGCCUGGAUCAAGUGGUGUGAUGCAAACAAUGGGAAGGGAUAUUAGGCUGAAGUAUGCUGCAUCAUUCGAGACGUGCUAUUCAUUCCGGCUUCUCUACUAUGCUGGUUCAUUCUAUCCUAUUAUGGGAGCUUUAAGGAUGUCUUAUCCAAAUAGAUAUGAGAUUUAUCGAAGGGUUGACGAGCUCAAUGGGAAAGAGAAGUAUAUUCUUAUAGCCGAAUUCACGAACAAGCCAACUCCUGAUGAUAUUACCUGCGCUUUCACAGGACGGAAAAAGGAAGAAGAAAAGACACCUUCUGGAUUCUGGGGUUUCUUAAAUGGUAUAUUUUAAGGCAAGCGAUCUACUGUAUGACGAUGCAAUCCUUCUUGGUAUAUUUUAUCAGGUUAAAACAGAAGAAUCAAAUUUAGAAAGUUUUCUAUUUGCAAGAUGAUAUAUCACUUAUGAAAAGCUCUGAUUCGUUGGUUUAGCAUGUGUUUGCCCCAUUCUGCCUUUGUUUAGUGCAGCGCCUAUUUCCCCCAUUCCUUAGAUUCUCCACCAUAUCUAUAUAUACUGAUUUAAUGCUUGAAAUGCUUAUUGGAGUUAUAAAAGGUUCUGCUGAGACUUUUCCUUGGGUCA